UUAACACAUGCAAGUCGAACGAUGAAGCCCUUCGGGGUGGAUUAGUGGCGAACGGGUGAGUAACACGUGGGCAAUCUGCCCUUCACUCUGGGACAAGCCCUGGAAACGGGGUCUAAUACCGGAUAACACUCCUGCCUGCAUGGGCGGGGGUUAAAAGCUCCGGCGGUGAAGGAUGAGCCCGCGGCCUAUCAGCUUGUUGGUGGGGUAAUGGCCCACCAAGGCGACGACGGGUAGCCGGCCUGAGAGGGCGACCGGCCACACUGGGACUGAGACACGGCCCAGACUCCUACGGGAGGCAGCAGUGGGGAAUAUUGCACAAUGGGCGAAAGCCUGAUGCAGCGACGCCGCGUGAGGGAUGACGGCCUUCGGGUUGUAAACCUCUUUCAGCAGGGAAGAAGCGAAAGUGACGG
rnacentral:rRNA from 1 species